GUGAAACCAUUCAUAAUGUGGUUAGACUUGGUCAGAAGAUUAGGUGUAUAUUUAUAUACCUAAUCUUUUGACCAAGUCUAACCACAUUACGUGCUUUAAACUGCUAUUGUAAAACAAACUUUUUGCAAAACUCUAAAAACACAGCUAUCUACAUUAUACACAUCAUUCAAAAGUAGCAGCUCUUUUGUUCCAUUUGGAAAAACACUGCCAUUUAAAUGCCACACUCAUUUAAUGAUGACCUUCAGCCAGUGAUCAUGUGUAAAAACAGACAUAAUUUGUUCACUAAGAAAUCAAAACGAAAGAUUUUUACCCCCUUGCAUUUCUGUUUACAUUGUAUAUAUAUAUGUAUGUAUAUCUAUAUAUAUAUAUGUAUAUCUAUAUACUGUGUGUGUGUGUGCGCGCGCGCGGUUUGCCAUCAUUCUUCUCUUCUUUCUUUAUUAGUUCAGUCUCUACAGCACGUCUGCAUGAUCUUGAGCAGUUUAAGCUCCUUCACAGCUCUGUUAUGGCGAAUGUUCAAACCAGGAUUCUUCAUCUGGAUCUCUCUAUCAUCAUUAUUUUCCUGAUUCAUGCAGAUUAUUCAAAAUCUAAUCAAGAGCAAAGGAUUCAGCAGCACAUCAACAAAACAGUGUUUGUGGGGGAAACAGUUACACUUCACUGCAACAAAACCCAACUUGAUGAUGAUUUCACAUGGAAAAUGAACAACUCUGUUAUUUUUAGGCAGGUCUCUUAUUUUAACAUAACUAAGACAAACUUCAGCUCAAACAGGAUUCACAUCGACCCCGCAGCUCCAAGAGAAUUAACAAUACAUCAAAUACAAGCGUCUGAUGCAGGAAACUACAGCUGUUACCCAGCAGCAAUAAGAUGGACAUUAACAAUAACAGAAAACACAACCAGACCAGAAUCACUCAAACAAAUGCCGCUGUACAUCAUCUACUCAUGUUCUGGAGUCAUUAUGAUCUGUCUGAUCAUAACCAUAUGCAUUCACAGUAAACUGAAGCAGAUGAAGACAAACUCUGAUCUCUGUGAAACAGACCAGGAGGCAGAAAGUUUAUUUACCACAGAACAGGUUAUUAUUCAGCUUUUAUGGAAUGUGUUCUUGAAUUCUGUACAUUGUUAUACAUUUAACCUAAAUUCUACAACUCUGCAUGAUCUGUACAGGUGAAGAUGAUCUCUGACUGUGACAAACACACAGUAACAGCCUGUGUUUACAGGCUUCAUACAGUUUCAUAAACGUCUUUUCUUCUCAAGACAGUGGUGUGUGUGUGUGUCUGACACUCAUCAGAUCAUGAACAGGAAGAUGUCUGUCAGUCUUUUUUGUGGAUUAGAGAAUGAAACUGUCCCAAGAGUAUGUCGCAGAGGAUCUUUAUAUACACAUUUUCAGAAAGAGUAAUACUUUUUACACUUUGAAAAUUUAAUAUUUAAAAAUUUAACAUGCCUAACUAGAUACUAAAUUAUUCACAACAACACCUUCAAAUACCUUCAGAGACUAUGUCCUCGAUACAUGAUAUCUGUCAUUGUGUUGGACAUCUGGAUGAAGAUCUUAUUUUUUUCCCUUUUCCUUCACCUCAUGAGUCUGACACUGAAACCUUUAAAAAAUGGUGUUUGUCACAAUAUGAAAAUAAGUAUGUACAGUCAGCAGGUCAUUAUUUCAAAAUAAACCAUAACUGUACUAAUGCA
ensembl:lncRNA